CACGUAGGGCGCAAGCGUUGUCCGGAAUUAUUGGGCGUAAAGAGCUCGUAGGCGGUCUGUUGCGUCUGCUGUGAAAACUCGGGGCUUAACCCCGAGCCUGCAGUGGAUACGGGCAGACUAGAGGUAGGUAGGGGAGAAUGGAAUUCCCGGUGUAGCGGUGAAAUGCGCAGAUAUCGGGAGGAACACCGGUGGCGAAGGCGGUUCUCUGGGCCUUACCUGACGCUGGAGGAGACGAAGCGUGGGGAGCGAACAGG
rnacentral:rRNA from 1 species